rnacentral:lncRNA from 1 species
AAAGUCCCAAAAUCAGUUGGUAAUUAGUUAGCUAACUCUUUUCAAACAUGGAACUAUUGCUAAAUCAUUGUUGUGGAUUGCUCUCAGCUUAACAAGAGUAAAUUCAAAUUUAACUAGUCAACGCUCUAAAUACUGAGAAGUCCCCUCCUCCAGAAGCAGAAAAAUCGACAGCUGACAACAAAGUACGGUGCAGAGUUUUCUGUUAGUUAGGAAGGAAAGAAAAAAGUCCCUCUCCCCAACUCCAAAGAGACUCAUGAGAUGAAUGGGCAAGAAUGAGUAUCUCUCCUUGGCGGUGAUGUAACCAUCUGCUUUGUUGCCUCGUUGACACACAUUUAUCCUCACAAAUCAAGCAGCAGAUGUUAUUAUUGCUGUUCCCCUCUUGACCCUCCUUGAAUUGGUGCAAGAAGAACUCUUUACUCACUUUUAUCCUUCGAUUAUAUUAUUGGAGAUACAAAAAACUCCCUCCUGACGAAUGCCCAUGAGCACAUAGGAGAUGGAAAUACCACGAAUUAUAAGCACACAACAACAGAACACUCCAAACACAAAGCUAUAUUGUGCUAUUAAAAGUACAAUAAACAAGGCAACAAUAAAUAUGAAAGACAGACUCCCAGUGUAACAGCAACCUCCUCAGUCGUUGAGGUAAAAUUCAUACUAACACACAUUUAUUCCAAUCCAAAACUUACUUAAUUUAAAAAAAGAAACGCGCACGCCUUUCAAUGAAAUGUUGUUGUCGCCGGCAGGAUGGAAAAAGAAAAUUUUUUAUAAUAUAAAAUAAUAAAUUAUGGGGGUGAGCUGUUUCUGCUGCUAAGGGAGGGGGUUGCUUUUAUGAUCACGUGAUUUAUUAUAUACAUGUGAAUGUUAUAUUUUUAUAAAUAAUAUAUACGUUUUUUGUACAAGUAUAUUUGUACUUCUUGUAUUGUAAGUUCUUUCUUUCUUUUCUAUUUCUAUGUGUGAUGGGGGCAAGAUUGAAAAUGAGCUUUUAACAGAACAUGGAUGAAAUGAGUAAGUUUUUGAAUUUUGUAUUUUCCCCCUAGCUACUUGCUAAGGUAGCUGAAGAAGCAGUAGACACGGUGAAGGAAGAAAAGGAAGAAGAAAAAGAAUUAUAAAUUUACGAGUUCAAAGCUAUCACUAUACUAUCAUGUUACAUAUUAUUAUAAAUAAUAUUAUAUUUAUUUUUACGAAUAGGUCGCUCGACUGUACUUGAACAUACAUAUAUAUAUUAUAAAUGAAAUUCCUUCAAAUUGAUGGGAACAUCUUAUUUUACUGGAUCUCUACUCUCAGUAGCCAAGACCCCCAUAGUCAUUAUCAUUUUAUAAUGAUAACGCAUUUAAUUCUCACGAUCUCAUUUCUUCACCUUUUCAGCUACAGACAUUAUUAACAUCAUUAAAUUAACUUUACAUUAACAUAGAUAAUAAUUAUUUUAGGCCUCAUUGUUUUAAUAUACCAAUAUAUAUAUAUGUAAAAAAAUUCAUCUCAAACCACAAUUCAUGGGGAAUGAGUUUGAACUCGUAUAAGAUAUUAUUUAAAUUUCAUUUCUUUAUAUAUAAAAGGUAAUAAGCAAA